rnacentral:lncRNA from 1 species
UACAGAAGAUACGAUUGAUUAAGAAGGAAGAAAAGGGACUGUUAACUGCUGCCCUCAGAUUUUAAGACGGAGCCUUCAGCCAAUUACUGUCGCGGAAAGCGAUUUAACAUCAUCAAACGACGCGUGCUUCAUUCUUAAGCUUGUCAAUCAGCUCAUCUACAGAGGACACGAGAACUCCCGUUUUUCUCUUGGGAGGUUCAGUUACUUUAACGACCUCUAUAUCGGACUUGAUCUCGACUUUCAAAUCCUCUGGAGUAAGUUUCUUUAUGACCUUUGACUUUGCCUUCAUUAUGUUAGGAAGCGUUGCAUAUCUUGGCUGGUUCAAUCGCAAAUCAGCACUGCAGAAGGGAGAAGUAAUGCAAGUGUUCAGAAGCAAGGACAAAACCAAGUGAUAAAAUGUUGGCAAGCACAACCAUGGUUCAUAUGAAGUUGAACGGUAUAAUGAUUUCCCUUCAUCUGUGUUAAAGGCUCUAAAGUACAGAAACUGCUCAAAGCGAUGAUGGAAUAGCUUUAUAAUUGUGAUAGAGUAUGCCCUGAUUCCAUGAGCAGAACCAAAGGAUAUAAUCAGCAUAGGAUCACGACCUGUGACCUGUCAUGCACUUCAGGAUUAAAGAAUUAAGCGCAUCUGCCAGCAAUUCUUUCUUCACACUAAUCUAGAAAUGCUCCAUCGAAAACAAACAAGAAUAAACAUAACAAACUGAAUCACGACAAGUCAGUGUUUUCAGCUUUCCUUUGGAACUCCUGUCAGUUCCUCUAAAAUGAUUCACAGAAACAGCACAAGUUUCUCCUUUAGGACAAAAAACCGCAGGAAAACAAAACACACACACACACACACACACAUAGACAUACAUGUGCUUUUCGUUUGUCAUGUGAAACUAUUGUGUAUGGUCCUUUAGAAAGAAGUAUAAAUUAUAAUCCUCAAGCCACUCAUAAACA